GUCCACGCCCUAAACGAUGUCGACUGGUUGUUGGGGGUUUGACACUCUCAGUAACGAAGCUAACGCGUGAAGUCGACCGCCUGGGGGAGUACGGCCGCAAGGUUAAAAACUCAAAAGGAAUUGACGGGGACCCGCACAAGCGGUGGAUUAUGUGGAUUAAUUCGAUGCAACGCGAAAAACCUUACCUACCCUUGACAUGUCCCGAAGCCCGGUGAGAGCCGGGGGUGCCCGAAAGGGAACGGGAACACAGGUGCUGCAUGGCUGUCGU
rnacentral:rRNA from 1 species